CCGGGAGGGGUGCCUGACAGGGGCGCCCUCCUCACGUUCCACAGUCAGCUUGCCCUUCCCUCCAGCUUUCUUUCUGACGCUAGCAGAAGAUUAGGACUCUGGGAGAGAGAGGAGUCCUGGACUCCAAGGACUGGUUAACUUGGAGGCCCCACCCUUCUGUUCAAAGCUAGCCUAACUCGGAGAACUCAGGGUAAAGCUCUUUGAAGGCAAACAUCCUAAAUGUCAGUCCAGUAUCCACGGGGGCGAGAGACAGCAGGUGAGAAACCUGGAAGUGAACCUGAAGAGGCGAAGCUGCAGAACGCCAGCAAACAGAUCGUGCAGAAUGCCAUCCUGCGCGCUGUGCAGCAGGUCUCCCAGGAGAGUCGGCGGAGGGAAGCCAGAGCCAGCGGCACCCAGGGCAGCCCCCAGCGGGGCGUGGGGGAGUUAACCAAGAAGCAUGAGAAGAAGUAACACCGUGGAUUCGGCCCUUGUCACACUGCUUGGUCUUCAGCCUUCCUCUUAGUAUAGGAUGUGUCGCCAAAAUGUUGCCAGUAAAGCAAACCAAAGUGUCAUAGGCACCUAGCAGUAGGAUGAACUUGCACGAGCCCCUCGUUGGGAUGCACUGUUCUGACAAAAGUGCAUUAGACGAUUCUGUUUAAACACAGUGCCUCGGAAACAUAGUCGGGCCAAACACGACACUGUAAUUGCAAAAGUAGUUUUGCAGCACAAUUCCUUUUUAAAAUCUUUUUUUUUUAAAUGAUUCUGUCUUGUUUAUUUAAUUUUGCCUUUUGUGCAUUUUUUCUGUGAAUUUAACCAGCAGUCCUUUUUUGCUGAAACAUUGAGUGCAGUACUGAGAUCUGUAUAAUAUUUUAUAAAGACAUGCUGGAAGGGUGAAGGAAUAUUGUUUGAGUGCCCCUCAAAUAUGGAAUUGAAGGUUUUAAUAAAGUGGGUUCAGGUCCAAGAUCAAAUUAAGCAAAAAGCAAAUCCUAAGACCAAGUCCCUCAGGAUCUUAACAAGGUGUGUAUUUAUAUUACUUUUUUAAAAAGGAGGAAUUUCGCUUUUCCUGUAUUCAGUCUGAAAUCUCUCAGUUGUUUGAUACUCGGUAUUUACUCUCUGUGAAGAAAUCCUUUGGAAAUAUUACGGAUUACUUUUUCCAUCUGAAGAUGAAAAUAAGACAGGUACAUCUAUAUGCAUGAGUUGUCAAUGUUAGCAACCCCUUGAAGAGCAGCAAGAAUUGUAGGUUGCAUCCUGGAGAUACAGUAGUGCCUGAUGAUGGUAUAUGGUGCCUUUGGGAGGAGCUCUUGGAUCUUAUAAAUGCUGUGGGGCCUUCAGGCUAUGCAUCUGCACUAGUACCUUGCUAAUAGGAAAUUUCCUUGUCCCACCCACGAAUUACAUUUUUCUUGAGAUUAUGAAAAUCAUAUGUAUUGGGAAUGAAUGUUGCUUCAAAUGGGAAAAUCAUUCUCUCAACUUUCUGGAACAGCAAAAGACAGUGGGAACAGUCGAGCAACCGUGUUGUGAAUGCAGUUAUGGAAGCGUGUGUGUGAGUGAAUAAAGCCAUCUCCGCAGCAGAAUGACUUCUGCUUCACCCCCAUGGGGGUAACACAUAGUUUUCUAUGUCCUUAGCAUCCCAUUUCCUGGGCUUUGCAGCAGUUAUUGAGUUGGAGCUAUUGGGAACAGAGGGAGAAUUUGGCCUUUGUUAGAGAUCUUUUGGCUUCGGGGUGUCAGUGUCUACAUUUGAUAGUUUUUUUAAAAAGCAAAGUAUCAGCAUCUAAAGGGUGACAGAUAUGAAGAUCUGCUUCUAAAAUUCCAACAUGUUACACUUUCCAGAAGGGAUAUUAUUGAGAAAUGGAUGAACACAGUCUCUUAUUAGUUCUCUUAGACCAUCUCACACCAUGCACAGAUGGAAUAAGUUCACAGGGAGGAUGUCUGUGGGAGGGAGCAGAGGGGUAAACAUUUAAAUGUGGUUUAUUCAUAAUUUUCUCUGAAUAGUUCUCAUGACAAUUGAAGAAUGAGUUCAAGGUGACCUGAAGUCAUAUAACUGAGUAGAACUAUACCGCAUAGUUAAUAGGAAUAAAAUAUUAGGGGAAAUUAUUCAAGAGUAUACGCACACAGACACACACACACACACACACACACACACAAAUAAACCCACUGCUUGUAGUUUGCAAAUGAUCUGACACUCUGUCUGCUAGGAUAUCUGAGUAGAAUCAGCCUUGGACUUGGUUGUCAUAUGGCAGAAACACAUAAACACACUCUCUUUCCUCUCUGGUGUGUCUGUGUUAAUACCUUGGGGAUCUUUGAGAAUAUCUGAUUAACCUCUGUAUCUAAAUGUUGUUUAUAAAUAAAACAUAUCCAGCUU
rnacentral:lncRNA from 1 species